AAAAACAUCGCCUCUUGUUAACCUCACAUAAGAGGUCCUGCCUGCCCAGUGACCCCUGUUCAACGGCCGCGGUAUUUUAACCGCGCAAAGGUAGCGCAAUCACUUGUCCCUUAAAUGAGAACCAGUAUGAAUGGCUAGACGAGGGCUUAACUGUCUCCUUUUCCCAACCAAUGAAAUUGAUCUUCCCGUGCAGAAGCGGGAAUACCAACAUAAGACGAGAAGACCCUGCGGAGCUUUAGACGCCAGAACAGAUCACGUCAAAUACCUCUCUCAAACAGGUAACAACAAAUGAACCCUGUUCCACGUCUUAGGUUGGGGCGACCACGGUGAACAGAAAAACCCCCGCGUGGACUGAGAGCACAUACUCACACUUAUCAAUACCGCUUCUCACAACCAUGAGCUACAGCUCUAAAUAACAGAACUUCUGACCAAAAAAACGAUCCGGCAAUGCCGAUUAACGGACCAAGUUACCCCAGGGAUAACAGCGCAAUCCUCUUUAAGAGCCCAUAUCGACAAGAGGGUUUACGACCUCGAUGUUGGAUCAAGACAUCCUAAUGGUGCAACCGCUAUUAAGGGUUCGUUUGUUCAACGAUUAAAGUCUUACGUGAUCUG
rnacentral:rRNA from 1 species